rnacentral:rRNA from 1 species
GAUGAACGCUGGCGGCGUGCCUAAUACAUGCAAGUCGAGCGAACGGACGAGAAGCUUGCUUUUCUGAUGUUAGCGGCGGACGGGUGAGUAACACGUGGAUAACCUACCUAUAAGACUGGGAUAACUUCGGGAAACCGGAGCUAAUACCGAAUAAUAUUUUGAACCGCAUGGUUCAAAAGUGAAAGACGGUCUUGCUGUCACUUAUAGAUGGAUCCGCGCUGCAUUAGCUAGUUGGUAAGGUAACGGCUUACCAAGGCAACGAUGCAUAGCCGACCUGAGAGGGUGAUCGGCCACACUGGAACUGAGACACGGUCCAGACUCCUACGGGAGGCAGCAGUAGGGAAUCUUCCGCAAUGGGCGAAAGCCUGACGGAGCAACGCCGCGUGAGUGAUGAAGGUCUUCCGAUCGUAAAACUCUGUUAUUAGGGAAGAACAUAUGUGUAAGUAACUGUGCACAUCUUGACGGUACCUAAUCAGAAAGCCACGGCUAACUACGUG